rnacentral:rRNA from 1 species
GACGAACGCUGGCGGCGUGCUUAACACAUGCAAGUCGAACGGAAAGGCCCUGCUUUUGUGGGGUGCUCGAGUGGCGAACGGGUGAGUAACACGUGAGUAACCUGCCCUUGACUUUGGGAUAACUUCAGGAAACUGGGGCUAAUACCGGCUAGGAGCUCCUGCUGCAUGGUGGGGGUUGGAAAGUUUCGGCGGUUGGGGAUGGACUCGCGGCUUAUGAGCUUGUUGGUGGGGUAGUGGCUUACCAAGGCUUUGACGGGUAGCCGGCCUGAGAGGGUGACCGGCCACAUUGGGACUGAGAUACGGCCCAGACUCCUACGGGAGGCAGCAGUGGGGAAUAUUGCACAAUGGGCGGAAGCCUGAUGCAGCAACGCCGCGUGCGGGAUGACGGCCUUCGGGUUGUAAACCGCUUUCGCCUGUGACGAAGCGUGAGUGACGGUAAUGGGUAAAGAAGCACCGGCUAACUACGUG